AACGAACGCUGGCGGCAUGCCUAACACAUGCAAGUCGAACGAGACCUUCGGGUCUAGUGGCGCACGGGUGCGUAACGCGUGGGAACCUGCCCUUAGGUUCGGAAUAACUCCCCGAAAGGGGUGCUAAUACCGGAUAAUGUCUUCGGACCAAAGAUUUAUCGCCUUUGGAUGGGCCCGCGUUGGAUUAGCUAGUUGGUAGGGUAAAAGCCUACCAAGGCGACGAUCCAUAGCUGGUCUGAGAGGAUGAUCAGCCACACUGGGACUGAGACAUGGCCCAGACUCCUACGGGAGGCAGCAGUGGGGAAUAUUGGACAAUGGGCGAAAGCCUGAUCCAGCAAUGCCGCGUGAGUGAUGAAGGCCUUAGGGUUGUAAAGCUCUUUUACCCGGGAUGAUAAUGACAGUACCGGGAGAAUAAGCGCCGGCUAACUCCGUG
rnacentral:rRNA from 1 species